ACCGCCGUGGUGUAGUGGUUAACACACUCGCCUUUUUUUAACAGGUGCGCAGGUUCGAUGCCUGGCGGUUAUU
rnacentral:tRNA from 1 species